GAUGAACGCUGGCGGCGUGCCUAAUACAUGCAAGUCGAACGCUUUGUCUUUAAUUGAUAUGAAGAGCUUGCUCUGAUUUGAUUUUAUCUGACAAAGAGUGGCGAACGGGUGAGUAACACGUGGGUAACCUACCUCUUAGCAGGGGAUAACAUUUGGAAACAAGUGCUAAUACCGUAUAACACUAACAACUGCAUGGUUGUUAGUUGAAAGAUGGUUCUGCUAUCACUAAGAGAUGGACCCGCGGUGCAUUAGCUAGUUGGUAAGGUAAUGGCUUACCAAGGCGAUGAUGCGUAGCCGAGUUGAGAGACUGAUCGGCCACAAUGGGACUGAGACACGGCCCAUACUCCUACGGGAGGCAGCAGUAGGGAAUCUUCCACAAUGGGCGCAAGCCUGAUGGAGCAACGCCGCGUGUGUGAUGAAGGGUUUCGGCUCGUAAAACACUGUUAUAAGAGAAGAACGACAUUGAGAGUAACUGUUCAGUGUGUGACGGUAUCUUAUCAGAAAGGAACGGCUAAAUACGUG
rnacentral:rRNA from 1 species